UACGUAGGGGGCAAGCGUUGUUCGGAAUAACUGGGCGUAAAGGGCGCGUAGGCGGGCUGUCAAGUCUGGGGUGAAAUGCCACGGCUCAACCGUGGAACUGCCUCAGAUACUGACGGCCUCGAGGGAGGUAGGGGCGUGCGGAACUGUAGGUGGAGCGGUGAAAUGCGUUGAUAUCUACAGGAACUCCGGUGGCGAAAGCGGCGCGCUGGACCUCUUCUGACGCUGAGGCGCGAAAGCUAGGGGAGCAAACGGG
rnacentral:rRNA from 1 species